CACCACUACCCCUCUCAAAUAUGAAAAUAUCAUAAAUACCCCUACAAAAUUGAAAAUAUCAUAUAUACCUCUUCAAAUGCAAAAAUUUUUCACAAUUACCCUUCCAUCUAACGACUGUUACUUAAACUAUGGUUGAAGUUGGGUUAAAUAAAAGUUGAGUUACAAAAUGACUAAUUUAGCCCUAAAAAGGUUAGGUAUUAUUUUGAUAGCAAAUAAUGAAAUAAUUAAGGGGCAAUUUCAUAAGUACCCUUCUAAAUUUUAAAAAUAAUAUCUCUAGCACUAAUUAUUAGUGGGUAAAAAAUAAAGAAACCCCUCACUUGUAAAUCAUUUUGAACUAGAACCCUUUAAGUUUUAUUUUUUAACACUAAAAGAGACCUUGAACUAUCAGUUUUUUUUUAUUUGACUUUACUUAGUUAAAAGUUUUUUAAUUGAGAUCCCUCGCAUGAAUUUGAUAAAAUUUUUAAUUUUGUUGGAAAAAAACACUCAAUUGCUAAAAUUUUUUAAAAAAAACACUUAGGUUGAGAGGGUAUAUAUAUAUAAAGAGUUUUGUUAUAAUACUAUCGGUAGUACAACUUGGGUUACUAUGAUUUGUUUUCGAUGAUAGGAUUUCCAAAUUGACAAUUAGCACCGUUAAAUAUGAUAUAAACCAUUUAAACUAUCUGAAAAUCAAAUUUCACGCUUUUCUGAGUUACGAUCAUGUCGAAGUGAACUAUAGAUGAGAGGGUUUUCAUAAAAUUUUACUUUAUUGUUAACAAUAAAUUUUCAAUUAAAAAAAUUUUGUUUAAGCAGAUCAUAUAAGUAAUACUCUAAUAUAGAGAAUUUUGAUAUCAAAAUAUUUUUAGCAUGAGAUAUGUGAGUUAUUUAAAUAAAAUUUUUAAAAAUAAAUCUUUAAAUAGUUAAUGUUGAAUUCUACUAUAGACAAAUUGCAUUAUAACUAUGUAUAAUUUAAAAGCGAAAAAUCAUAAUGAGAUUUAACUAUCACACUUAAUAGACUAUGGAUCUUUAAUUGUAAUAUUUUAGAAAUAAUGUUAAAUUAUUAUGUGAUUCAAAUGUUAAAAAUUGAUCAUAUAAUUAAUCUUAAAUAUUAAAUGUUUAAAUUGUUGCUAGGGGUAAAAUUGGUAUUUACAAAAUAUUGGACGACCAUUUGACUGAAAGUUAAGCUAAAGGGUAUCUGUGAAUAUUUUUGGGUUUUAGAGGGGUAUUGAUGAUAUUUUUCAGUUUAGAGGGUUAUCCAUGAAAUUAUGAUUUUUCAUAGGGGUAUUGAUGAAAUUAUUCCUAAAUUUUAUAUCUCAUUAUCCAUGGGCUCAGUAAACUUUUCUAAAUUUUUAGUAUUAAUAAAAAUUGACAAAAUAAGAGAGCCUUUGAGAGGCUAGAUGCAAUCGUACAACUAAGUUUUGUAUACAUAUAACAUUGUUUCUAGUUCAAUAUAAUUUUUCUACAGUAAACAUAGAUAUAUAUUAUUAUUGGCUUAAUAGCAUGGGUUCACCUAGAAUACUAUUGAUAAUAAAUAAUAGUAUUUACUAUCAACUUUUUCACAAUUGGAUCAUUACUAUUUCACUUAUACCAACUAAAUCAAGCAUCCAAUGGCUACAAAGUUAGUAGUAAAUACUAUUCGUCUGCUAUCAAUAGCAUUUCAAUUUAAUUGUAAUAACACUAUACUACAAUGCACUUUACAAUUUUUUUAAUUUUCUAUUCUAUACUUUCUUUUCUUUUUUUUUUCAAAGGCACUACU
rnacentral:lncRNA from 1 species